rnacentral:misc_RNA from 1 species
GGAGGUAAAAGUCGUAACAAGGUUUCCGUAGGUGAACCUGCGGAAGGAUCAUUCAUAAUAAGUGUUUUAUGGCACUUUUUUAAAUCCAUAUCCACCUUGUGUGCAAUGUCAGGGUUGAUUUUUCUCUCGAGAGGAUCAACCCCAAACAUCAACUAUAUCUCAACUCUUUGUCUGAAAAAUAUUAUGAAUAAAACAAUUCAAAAUACAACUUUCAACAACGGAUCUCUUGGCUCUC